CUGAAGCCAGUUAGUCAGCAUCAUGCACAGGGGAACUGAGACUCACAAUGAUUAAGUGAAACAUUUAAAAAGUUAAAUUUCACAGCGGGUAAUGUGGCUCCAGUACAGUCAAUGGAGCCUGCCCUCCUGGAAGCCGGAGCUUUCAGUCACUAGGAUCAUCUAAAUAAGCAGGGCAACUGGAUGAACAGCUUGGAAACUUAACAGGAUUGGAACAUCAGAGGUACCACGUAAAUUAACUCUGGCAGCAUAAAAGGAAGUAAAAUUGCACCUGUGACUAGUUUGAAGUUCCUCGGUUUGGUAACAUCACUUUUUUCAAGAGAGCCCACAGUGGAAUUUCACUGUUUCAGAAAUCACUUUUCCAAAGGACUUCUGGGAGAAGAAAACAACCUAUGCUGUUCCUACUACCAUGAACACGGCUUUGUCAAUGAGCUGCAUUGUGAUCUCAUCUUUGUAAACCUCAAAAGUCAAGAAAGAAUCCUGGACUCCAGCCUGCAGCCUGCAACAGAGAAGGCAAUAUUCUCGUCUCAGUAGUGCUCUAAAUAUGACGUGCUUGGGUGACCCUACUGGCAUUCAUUAAGCACUGUUUGCUACUAACCCACUCCUCAGCCUCCUUCAGGCGUUAUACUGGAAAGCACUACUUCCCCUGAUGGUUUGAGAGUGUUGCUUUGACAUGGCUGCCUGGUGGUGUCCACCUCUCUGUUUCUGCUGUUUCACCUUACGUAUUACAGUGAACUCUUCCAAGGAUUAGGGCAUCAUAACGCGGUGUGCUACAGCAAGUGGAGUCGCAGUUUGUUUUCUGGUCUGCUGGCUUGUCAUUCAACGUGGCCAAAAUAUCAAGUGUUUGGGUCUCCACAGACCUGACCAAAAACUUCGUGGAUUUUGUUUGGUUUUUUUUUUUUUUAUGUUGGCUUCAGUGGCUAUGACAGGUCUGUAUCUAAGUAUCAUUUAUAUAUCUUUAUAUCUUGGAAAAUACUAUGUAGCUUACAAAGACAAGACAAAAGCAGAGAAGAUAAUGUAUUUAGCCGCUUUCCUAAAAGCACUGGAAUCAAACUGACUUGAUACCAAGGAUGUCAUCUUUUCAGUGUAAUUACUUCUUGAUAUUGUCACAGUGAGCUGGUGACUCCAUUGCACAAUUGUCUAUAAGACUAAAUGUCACCCUUAAUUAUCUGAUAUAACAAAUUAAUUGGGACAAAUUAGUAUCAGAGUAUGAUGUGUUACAAGGUAAGAAACUCUUGCUUUUGCCCUGCUAGUUACUUCUGAUAAUUACUUGAGAUACACGUUGGCUGCCAUUUGCCGCUGAGAAAUUACAGUCCUCCGCUGCUAAAUUCCGGACCAUUUUCUUUCAAUACACAACAUUUAUUGGGAACA